rnacentral:rRNA from 1 species
UACGGAGGAGGCAAGCGUUAUCCGGAAUUAUUGGGCGUAAAGCGUCCGGAGGUGGUUGGCCAAAUCUGCUGUCAAAGGGUGGGGCUUAACCUCAUAAAGGCAGUGGAAACUGUCGAGAUAGAGUGCGGUAGGGGUAGGCGUAAUUCCCGGUGUAGCGGUAAAAUGCGUAGAGAUUGGGAAGAACAUCGGAGGCGAAAGCGCCCUGCUGGGCCUGCACUGACCCUGAGGGACGCAAGAUAGCGGCGCGAACGGU